UUGAUUUUCUCUAUAAUUUCAGUUAUUCCAUUAAUUUUCCUUUUCUUUUUUUUUUUCUUGCAUCGGAAGUCAAAUCAGUGCGAAAAAGUUCAUCCAAUUCCAAAUCAAUGGCGACCGAUCAUCACAGCGUGCGACGAAAACGAUUUGGCGUAGUGGACGUACUGUCGAGUGUUGGUGAAUUUUUCUCACCGAGCAUUGAUGAACAAUGGAGAAUUUGAUCCAGACAGAAUGGAAUUCAAGUUCGCUGUUGCUAAUGGAGUUAAUUAAUAUGUUGAUCGAAGUCGAGAAAGUUGGGGAACAAUCGUGUCGUUGAUGCUGUUAUAUCGUGUCCAAUAUCUGGUGGAUGUUUCGCGGCAUCUCGCCAAAUAGAGGCCAAUUCGUUAAUUGGAGUUGAAAAGCAAACAGAAACAUUGGGACUGAUUGGGAUCGGAAAAUUAAUUUUUCCACGAUGCAAUUCAGAGUUAUGCAGCCAAUUUACAAAUAUUCGAUUCGUUUUCAGGUCGUUUCAUUACUAUAUCAUCGUUGUCGUGGAAAUGGAGUUUGAUUAGUAAUGUAGAAUCUUGCCUUGGUGGUCCAUGGUGUAAAGUAUGCGCGCCACUACUGUUGCACGCUAGGUGUUUGAUAAAUGUUGGACUUGAAACUCCGUUGGCACAGGUUCAGUCUCUGUUAAUUAGUUGAAGGGUCAGCAAUCGGUGGACAUAAAGGCACUGAUCUUGAACGACAAUUCAGUUCUCUAAUUGUUUGACAUUAAUUUGCUGCUUUUCUUGCACACAGGGAAGGAAGCUGGAUUCAACGUUUUAAUUACUUUUGCUCGUUUGAGUUUGAAACAAGAGGAGCGCCAUACCCCAGAAAUGGAUGACAGGCGAUUCUUUGAGAAAUUCAGGACCUUCCUCGCGUAUGGCUGUGUGGAUUGCAUGUGCGAAGACAUUAUCGGUGCUUUUG